GGAGCAGGAGCCGGAGCAGGAGGGUGGUUCUGGUUCCGGGUCAGUCCCCGCCCGGGCAGGCUCCUCGGGCGGUGCGCGGGGGCGGCGGUCCCGGCCAUGCGGAGCCGGGCCGGGCGGCGCCGGCCGCGCAGGGCCCUGCCUGGGCUGCGGCGGGGCCCCGUGAGCUGCCGGGGGUAGGGCGGGGUGCCCCCCUUCCCUUCCCCCACCCCCCCCGCCCGUCGCCAUGUACACCUUCGUGGUGCGGGACGAGGGCAGCAGCGUGUACGCCGAGGUGAGCCGGCUGCUGCUGGCCAGCGGGCAGUGGCGGCGCCUCCGCAGGGACAACCCCCGCUUCAACCUGAUGCUGGGCGAGAGGAACCGGCUCCCCUUCGGCAGGCUGGGCCAUGAACCUGGACUUGUGCAGCUGGUGAAUUACUACAGGGGAGCAGACAAGCUGUGCCGCAAAGCAUCUCUGGUGAAGCUAAUCAAGACAAGCCCUGAGCUAUCAGAGUCCUGCACAUGGUUCCCUGAGUCAUAUGUGAUUUACCCAACAAACUUGAAGACCCCAGUGGCUCCAGCACAGAAUGGAAUUCACCAUCUCAUAAACAACACAAGAACAGAUGAGCGGGAAGUCUUCUUGGCAGCUUACAACAGGCGGCAGGAAGGCAAAGAAGGCAACGUGUGGAUUGCCAAGUCCUCAGCUGGUGCCAAAGGAGAAGGGAUCCUGAUUUCUUCAGAGGCUACAGAGCUUCUGGACUUCAUCGAUGAGCAGGGACAAGUGCACGUGAUUCAGAAAUACCUGGAGAAUCCUCUACUUUUAGAGCCAGGGCAUCGCAAGUUUGACAUCAGGAGCUGGGUUCUCGUGGAUCAUCAAUAUAAUAUCUACCUCUACAGAGAGGGUGUCCUGCGGACCUCUUCCGAACCAUAUAACAGUGCUAAUUUCCAGGACAAAACCUGCCACUUGACCAAUCACUGCAUUCAGAAGGAAUAUUCCAAAAACUAUGGGCGGUAUGAGGAAGGGAAUGAAAUGUUCUUUGAGGAGUUCAACCAGUAUCUGAUGGAUGCCCUGAACACAACGCUUGAGAAUGGCAUCUUACUGCAAAUCAAACACAUAAUAAGAAGCUGCCUUAUGUGUAUAGAGCCUGCAAUCAGCACGAAGCAUCUUCACUACCAGAGCUUCCAGCUCUUUGGCUUUGACUUCAUGGUGGAUGAGGAGCUGAAGGUCUGGCUAAUAGAAGUCAAUGGGGCCCCAGCGUGUGCUCAGAAGCUGUAUGCAGAGCUCUGCCAAGGAAUUGUGGAUGUAGCCAUUUCUAGUGUUUUCCCCCUCAAUGACACUGGGCAGAAGAUGAGCCAGUCAUCAUCGAUCUUCAUCAAGCUGUGAUGACGUCAGGACUGCCACUGCUGUGAACAGGGAAAGACUGCAUCCCUGGGGAUGGACAUUCAUUGCAACACACUGAAUCUACAAGUGGCAUUGUUUGACACAGGGCCACUCAAAUCCAGGAGGGAACAGAGUGCUUAGCAAAACCCCAUGGAAGAGAGGGCACGUCCCGAAGAACCACACAAACACCUCUGAAGUUGUCAACACCCUGAAGCCAGCAUGGAUCUGCAUCUGCAGAGUGCGUGGUGGAUGCAGAGUGCACUGGUGCACGCAGAGAAGUGACAGGGAGCAGGACCUGUGUGAAAAGGGGGCUGUAGCUUGGUUCCCCUGCUCUGCAGGUACUGGCAGGUGGCUUCACUUCUAGCAAGAUGCUGAAUGCCAGGUCUGGUCUCUGGAUUUGGGCCUCAUGGGUGUUGGGAAGAUGGACCAUGAAUGCACUGCUCCAUGAGAUGGGAAGUGCUGGGUGAUAAAGUGGGGAGAGGGGUGUUGGGGAAGGAGUGGUUGGGUUUUUAGCACAUA